UCGUAGGCUCAGUAGGUUAGAGCGC
rnacentral:sRNA from 1 species